rnacentral:tRNA from 1 species
GGUGGCUCAGUGGUAGAGCACUUGCCUUGCAUGCAUGAGGUACUGUGUUCGAUUCCUCAGCACCA